ensembl:misc_RNA
UUGACAAUCCUGAAAACUGAUGUCUUCUCUUAUCCAUAGAAUGGGUACAGCAUGGGCAGCAGCAGUGCAAUCUUUCAAUGGACUCCCAACUAGUGUACCAUAACUCUCAUCUGGAAGAAAACAUAUAGGGGCAGUGGAUAGCUCCGUCUCCAUGCCCUUUGUGAAUCACACUCUUAA